AAUAGUCUAACAAAUUAGCAACAGGGCCACCAAGAGAGUACAGUCAACCCUGAUUCAGAGAUGUCUCUGUUUAUCAGUUUUCUGCCAAUCAUUAAAACAAAAAAGGUGAAACAUGCAAUUAUAGACAAGGAGACAGAACUCCUAGUUCUUCCAUCCUAGCUGAAGCAGAAGAGUUUUAAUUGCUUGGGAAAAUAAGACUUGUGUUUU
rnacentral:lncRNA from 1 species